GGCAGCACGGGUGCUUGCACCUGGUGGCGAGUGGCGAACGGGUGAGUAAUGCGUCGGAACGUACCGAGUAAUGGGGGAUAACGCAGCGAAAGUUGUGCUAAUACCGCAUACGCCCUGAGGGGGAAAGUGGGGGACCGCAAGGCCUCACGUUAUUCGAGCGGCCGACGUCUGAUUAGCUAGUUGGUGGGGUAAAGGCCUACCAAGGCGACGAUCAGUAGCGGGUCUGAGAGGAUGAUCCGCCACACUGGGACUGAGACACGGCCCAGACUCCUACGGGAGGCAGCAGUGGGGAAUUUUGGACAAUGGGCGCAAGCCUGAUCCAGCCAUUCCGCGUGAGUGAAGAAGGCCUUCGGGUUGUAAAGCUCUUUCGGCAGGAACGAAACGGCGGGCUCUAACAUAGCCUGUUACCGACGGUACCUGCAGAAGAAGCACCGGCUAACUACGUGCCAGCAGCCGCGGUAAUACGUAGGGUGCGAGCGUUAAUCGGAAUUACUGGGCGUAAAGCGUGCGCAGGCGGAUUGUUAAGCAAGACGUGAAAUCCCCGGGCUUAACCUGGGAAUGGCGUUUUGAACUGGCAGUCUAGAGUGCGUCAGAGGGGGGUGGAAUUCCACGUGUAGCAGUGAAAUGCGUAGAGAUGUGGAGGAACACCGAUGGCGAAGGCAGCCCCCUGGGAUGACACUGACGCUCAUGUACGAAAGCGUGGGUAGCAAACAGGAUUAGAUACCCUGGUAGUCCACGCCCUAAACGAUGUCAACUGGUUGUUGGGGGAGUGAAAUCCCUUAGUAACGAAGCUAACGCGU
rnacentral:rRNA from 1 species